UCCUAAUUGCUACUAGGGACUAUGUCGCUGGCCAGCUAAAUUAAACAUGUGGUUUUUUAUUUCCCUUAAGUCCUCUAGUGUCUUUUUGAUUUUUGGAUCCAACUUGGAUUGAUUUUGGCAGGGGGCUGCCUCAUUUGGGGGCUCGUCCGGGAUGGAAUAACAGCCCACUGGCGCAAAUUCCAGAGGACCGAUUGGUAAAGAGACGCCUCCGGAGAGAUUACAUGUGCUCUUGGACUGACUGCCAACCAUUUGGUCGCCCCGAGGGUGCCCACAGGUCUCCUUUGACCUCCAGCUGGUGCCCAGACCAAAGGAAGAGGAUCCCGAUCAUUGUGGUCUUUUCUUUGUUAUUUUGCCUUUUUCUGUACUCAGUAAACUUUUCUAUUGAUUUCCUCUUCUCACAGGGAACUACAGCAGGCAGAAAUGGGACAGACUAAUGCUAAAAAGGCUCCCUCUCCCCCACUCCCCUUGGCCUUGUCUUAGAACACUUUAAAGAAUUUAAAAGGCCUGCCAGAGAAUAUGGGGAGCCUGUUUUCAAGGGAAGAUUAACGAUUUUUGCCUCCCAGGAGUGGCCGAUGGGUACACAGGGCGUGUGGCCGCCGACUGGGUCAUGUGAUAUGGGGAUACAUAGUCGGUCCGUAAUUAGGUUCUUGGGCCUCUUCUCACCUGCAUCAGAUUGUUUACAUUCCAAUUUGGAGAGACCUCAUCCAUGACGCCCCGCUGUGGAUCCCUCACACGCUAAAGAUGGAGAUGACCGUGGCCCGACUCCCUGCCCUCCGUGCCACCGGUUCUACCUUCAGCUGAAGACCCGUAGACAAUCUCCUCUUUCCUCCCUCUUACCCUCCUACCCGACACCCUCUCCUGCACCCCAGGACAGUCCUUCCCACUCUCCUUGCGCCAUUCGUACUGCAGUAGACCUUGCCCGCCUUCUCCUGACAGCACCACAGCACCAGCACCCCUCUGUCCCCUCCAAGAGAUUCCAAACCCCAGAGAUCCUGAGAGUCCAUCUUUGUAUACACUCCUUUAGCCACCUCUGAUCUCUAUAACUGGAAGGGUCAAAACCCCCCUUUCUCCAAAGACCCUGAGAAUCUAACCAGUUUAAUGGAGUCUUUUCUCCACCCAUAGUCCCACUUGGGAUGACUGUCAGCAGAUUCUGAGAGUUCUCUUCACUUCUGAGGACUGCACUGGUAUCCCUGCCUUGGGACGAAAAGAGGUCCCAACAGAUGACCCCCAAGAAGUGGAGCUUGUCUUCCCCUUGUCCCGCCCUGAUGGGGAUCCCAAUAUAUUUGGAGUCAUUAGACUCUGACUAAUAACAAAGUGGAUGCGGUCAGCGGCACCAGAGGACGAGAGUCAUAGCUGAAGGUAAUGGCCCAGUUGACUUGCCCUGGAAAAAAUACCACUAUGCAUGAAUUUCUGUGGGUCCAGAAAUGCCCCAAUCCACUGCUAGGAAGAGACCUUUUCUGUAAGUUAAAGGUCCAAUUGAGUUUUCAGACAGAAGCCCCACAACUGACUCUAGGGGCAACUCACAAGGAACAAAUCAAGGUGUUUGCCUUCCUACCUGAAGGGAAAAAUCAUCUCUUGCUGGGAAAUGACCCCACUCCAGGAACUAACAGCCACCUCCUUUAGGCUUGGCAAAUGGAGAUACUGGGGGUCUGGGCUGAAAAUAACCCCCCAGGCCUGGUUGUAAACCAAGUUCUUCUAGUAAUAGAGUUGCUGCCCCAGGUAUCUGCCAUCUGCCUUAGCUAAUAUCCAAUAAGGUUGCAGGCCCACCAAGGGAUUGCUAUACAUAUGGCUAGAUUAAAAGAUAAUAAAAUCCUUGUGCCUUAUGUUUCUCCCUGGAACAUGCCACUACUCCCAGUCCCAAAGCUGGGGACUACCAGCCAGUACAAGAUCUCUGGGAAGUCAACAGGUGAGUGGUUACCCUGCAUCCUACGGUUCCUUAUCCCUACACCCUACUGAGACUUCUGGGCCCAGAACACAUCUGGUACUCAGUCUUGGACCUAAAGAUGCCUUCUUCACUCUCCCAGUGGCCCCAGUAAGUCAACCCAUUUUUGCUUUUGAAUGGACUGAUCAGGGGACUGGAGUAACUGAACAAUUGACUUGGACACGUUGACCACAAGGCUAUAAGAAUGCUCCCACUUUAUUUGAUGAAGCCUUGGCUAGAGAUUUGAUGGGGUACCAGAAAGAGGUCACACUUUUGCAGUAUGUAGAUGACUCAUUAGUGAUCACCAAAAUCUUUGAAGAUUGCAAGGAAGCAACCAAGGACUUGUUAAUAACUUUAAAUGAUUUGGGAUAUAAGGUGUCAGCAAAGAAGGCACAGAUAUGCCAACAGACAGUGACUUAUCAGGGGUAUCAAUUGCAAGGGGGAAAGAGGACCCUCUCAAAUAAAAGGGUCCAAGCCAUUCUGCAAAUACUGGCACCAAGGACCAAGAAGCAAGUCCGUGAGUUCCUUGGUGCAGCUGGAUAUUGUAGGCUUUGGAUAUUAAACUUUGCUGAAAUAGCUCAGCCACUGUAUGACUUUUUUUUUAUUUAAAGAGAAAAACAAAACAAAACAAAAAACCAGUAAAAGGGUACAAGUAAUACAGAAUUUCAAGAGAAAAAAUAUACAGUAAGAAAUCACUAGUUAAUAGAUUACAUAUUGUCAUCUCAGAAACAGUUGUCCAUAUUACAAAAUUAAAGCAUACAAUGUGGACAUUAAUUCAGUGAGAUUGCAGACAGUUCUGUUCAAUGAUCCAACAAAAACUCAGUGAUAUGGUUUUCUAUCCUAUACACUUAAAUAUACAUGCAGUUAUGUCCUUUAGAUCACUUUCUUUCCUCUCUUUUUUAUGAUAAAAAUUACACAUUUUGGGUUUUAUUACUCCCACAGUUUUUCUUUGAAGAGGAAAACAAAACAAAACAAAACAAAACAGAACAGAACAAAAAAAGACCCCAAUGUGACAAAGCAAAACAUAGUCAGUUAGAACAGGAGGAUGGACAUAGUAUACAAUGCAAGAAGAGAUUACUAGGUGAUCAACAAUGGUUACCAUUAUGCUUCUUGCUAUCUUAAAAAGAGUUGUGUGUAUCAUCUGGUAUAACAGAAUUGAACAAAACAGUACAGAACAAGACCAAUAAAACCCACACUGGAGACCUUAUAGGACUUCCAAAGAAGAUAACAGUCAAGCCAUAAUGGGCAUCAUAGAAUUCUUUAAAAGGGCAGAUGCAGGGUCCACUGCAAUGGACAGACAUGCAAGAGACAGCCUUUUGACAAUUAAGACAGGCUCUGGUGGAUGCUCGCGCACUGGGACUCCCUAACAUAAAUAAGCCAUUUUUCCUGUAUGUGGAUGAAUUGAGAGGGAUUGCAAAGAGAGUAAUAACCCAGGAGCUAGGACCUUGGCAGAGGCCUAUAGCCUAUCUCUCUAAAAAGUUGGACACAGUGGCUGCCAGCUGGCCACCCUACCUGAGGAUCAUUGCUGCAGUAUCUAUGCUGAUAAAAGAGGCUAAGAAGCUCACUUUUGGCCAGAAGGUCACAGUGAUAACCUGUUACUCACUUGAGGCCCACAUUCAGGCCCCUCCAGACUGAUGGUUAUUGAAUGCAAGAAUAAUGCAUUACCAAGCAUUGCUUUUAGAUCCUGACUCUGUUGUCUUAGGUCUUCAGCAGCUCUGAAACCAGCUACGCUGCUACCCAAUGAGGAUCCAUCAGCCCUAUACCAUAAAUGCUCCACCUUGAUUGAUAGCUUCCACAGCCUCCCAUCUGACCUGACUGAUGUACCUCAGAAAGGAGUCCCAGAAUUCUUCUCAGAUGGUAGCAGCUACAUGCACCAAGGUAAACGAAUUGCAGGGGCAGCCGUGACUUCCAAGACCCAAAUUUUAUGGGCACAGAGAUUGGACUCUGGCACUUCUGCUCAGUGAGCUGAACUCAUUGCCUUGACAGAGGCCCUGAAACUGGCUGAAGGUAAGUGAAUUAACAUUUAUUUAUAUUGAUAGUAGAUAUGCCUUCGCUAGUGUUCAUGUACAUGGAGCAAUCUAUCAGGAAAGAGGACUACUGACCUCAGCAGGGGAUAAAAUAAAAAAUGCUCCCCAAAUAUUGGACCUGCUGGCAGCAAUAUGGUUACCUGAGAAAGUGGCUAUAAUACAUUGCAAGGCCCAUCAGAAAGGAGAUGACCCCAUAACCAGAGGAAACAAUUUGGCCAAUAUGGCAGCCAAGGAGGUUGUCAUAAAACCAUUGGGAUCUGAAGAAGGGGAAAUAAUAGAAGCCACCCCUACACUUUUAUUGAUGCUUCCAACAUCAAAACCAGUGUAUACUCAAAAGGACCUCCAUCUGGAUGCCCAGCUUCAGGCAAGACCUGACAUUCCAGGAGGCUGGUAUCAGUUGCCAGAUAAGAGAAUCUUGCUGUCUGAGGUCCUUGGACGAGAGCUUAUUCAGCAAGCUCAUCAGUCCACUCACUUGGGAGGAUCAAAACUAGCUGAACUUUUCUGAGACCCAUUCUUUAUACCUUGAUUGUCUAAGCUGACAGCAGCUGCCAGUGCCAGAUGUCCUCAGUGUCAAUUGGUUAACUCAAAACGGCUGGCUUGUUUUGGGGGAACUUCCCCAGGAGAACACUGGGAAAUUGACUUUACAGAAAUGAAGAAGCCAGGUCUGCAAGGACAUAAAUACCUUUUAGUUAUGAUUGAUACCUUUACCGGAUGGGUGGAAGCAUUUCCCACCCAAUCGGAAUCAGCUCUCACUGUAGUAAAAGAGUUACUAUAUGAGAUUAUUCCUCAAUUUGGCCUACCCUUACCUUUGGGGUCUGACAAUGACCAGCUUUCAUAGCCCAGGUAACCCAAAAGUUAACCCAGGCCUUUCAGAUUAAUUGGAAACUUCACUGUGCAUACCGUCCUCAAAGUUCAGGGCAAGUAGGGAGGAUGAAUCAAACUUUAAAAAACAUGAUUACUAAGUUGUCUCUGGAAACCAGCGAUAAUUUGGUAAGUUUCCUUCCUUUUGUCCUCUUGUGAGCUUGAUGUACUCCUUAUGUGUCUGGGGUGUCACCCUUUGAAGCAAUGUAUGGUGACUCCCUCCCCUUAUCCCAAAGCUUUCAGAAGAAAAGCUGGCAGAAUUGACUAACCAAGAUCUUAUUAAGUCCCUACAGGCCCUUUACCCUGUAAUGAACUCCAUACACUGGCUGUUUAAGCUGAAACACCGUCUGGCAACUCCCCUCUUGAGUCCAGUCCACUGGCAGAACCUGGUGCCUCAGUUCUCAUCAAAUGUCACCACGAGACACCCUCGAACCUCGCUGGGAAGGACCCUACACUAUGAUACUCAGUACACCGACUGCAGUGAAAGUGACUGGCAAGAUUCCCUGGAUUCAUCACACUCAUGUCAAAGUUUUGGAUACCCAAGGAAACCAAUCCUCGCAGGACAAUUGGACUAUACAUUGGACCAGUAACCUGUGAAAGCUAAAGUUAACCAAGCAUUCCUAGCUAUCUUAAACAUGUUUUUCCUCUGUGCUUAUUGUCUAUUAUCUGAGUGUGACUGUACUCCCUGGACAGGGAGAUUGGCUUAUCUAUGAUGAAAUAACACAACAGGAGUUGGGAAGAAGCUCUGGAAAUCAAAAUCAGGUCACCAUUGAUCUUUGUGUUCUCUUUGGGAAAAUGUAUGAAAAGUAUGUGGGCUUUGAUUAUGUAAAGAUGUUUAAAAAAAAAACCGCCUGCUUUGGGACCAACUCAAGAACUGAGUUGAUCAAAUGUUGCUAUACAUAUGCCCUAAGAGUCAACCUGCAUAUAGUUCCUACUGUUCUUCUGAUCCUGAGCAGCAGUAUUGUUAUUCGUGGUCCUGUGUCACCUGGGGGCUGGAUGGCUACUACACCUCUGAACAAUAUCUCACCCUACAGAGACUAGAGGGACCUAAUAAUUGUGAAAGCCCCACAGAAUGUAUCCCCAUUCAGCUGACUUUCCUUAGACUUCCUGAGCAAAAGUGGCAACAAGGGCUUAACUAUGUUCUUAAGGUUUAUAAGGCAGGAUAUGAUCCAGGCACAAAGUUUACUAUCAAACAUAUUCCAGAGAGACCACCUCCCAAAGUCAAGCUCCAUAAAAGCUCAGAAACUCCUCAUCCCCCUCUUGUUAGCCCCAUCCCAGAGAACACCCCAAUAACUCUUAGAGCCCCCUCUAUGAUUGAUAUAUUCCAGCCUUUGGAGUUAGUAUCCCAGCUGUUAAAUACCUCACUUAACAAUAAUCUCAGUACCCCAUGCUGGCUUUGCUUAGCUUAUGACCUACCACUACUUGAGGGAUAUAGUAAAUUAAAUGCCUCUCUAGCUCAAUUGUCCUCCUCAAACAUCAACUCUUGCUGUCAAAUAAAGAGCCCUUGGGCCUUAUGGGAAAAUAUAGAUUUGAUGGGAACAGAAGGGACCUGCAUAUAUUUCCACCACACCCCCUAGAUAUUGUAAUGCUACUAUGUCCAUUGCUAUUCAGGAAGGUGGAGAUAAUCAAUACAUAACCACCCCAACAGACCACUGGUGGGCCUGCACUUCAGGAUGGGUCACAUGUGUGUCUAAGCAGAAGGUUACUACAAAAAGAGAUGAAAUCUGUGUCUUAACCUAGGUAUUUCCCAGGGUAUAUUGGCACCCAAAGGAGGGAGGAGAUAAGGCUCUUACCCACUCCAAUCAAGGAAAAACUAGAAGAAGCUCAGUCCUCCCCACCAUAGCUGGGAUAACCAUCUUCUCAGCCCUGGGAAUGGGAGCUACCUCACUGGGAGUCAACCUCCACCACUAUGAUUCGUUAGGUAGACAGAUGGAUGAAGGGCUGAGGCAAAUACAGAGCACCAUAACUGCCUUAGAGGAUUCUAUAGACUCUUUGGCAAAAGUGGCCCUCCAAAACCACCGAGGACUAGACUUACUGUUGUCAGAAAAAGGAGGACUUUGCCUACCUUAGGAGAGCAGUGUUGUCUGUAUGUUAACAAAUCUGGGAUAGUCAGGCAGAAUAUGGCAGACUUACAAUGGAGCCUCUUAGAAAGAGAAGAAUUAAGGCAAGAGGCUCCUGGUUGGAUAGAACAAAUGUUUAACUUUUCCCCACAGCUCACUAGCUUAAUAGUGACCUUAUGGGGCCGAUCAUGAUUUUUCUACUAGCUGUUACAAUAGGCCCAUGCAUAAUAAAUAAAAUAACUGCCUAUAUCAGGCAAAUGCAGAGCAUCAAGCUUAUGAUGAUGCGCCAUCAGGCAUAUGCGUUGGUACCCCAAAACCCUUAAGGCCAAGGAUUUGGACACAAAAUGGGGAAAAUGUUGUAAGUUAUGAAAUACAACUAUUUCAUUUGCUAUAGCCUAAGUGCCACUUUGACUGUUUUGUAAUAUGCCAACUUUGCUAAACCUUGUUGGCCUGUAACUGAACCCUUGUGGUUAAAAUUUCCCAGGAAUGUUUGUACAACCAUGGUCAGGAGAUAACUUCAAAACUUCCCCCAGAGUUGUAAAUAACCUCAAAACAUCCCCCCAGAGCUGUUUUUCCCUGUGGUCUCAGCUGUGUAACUAUUAUCUGAUAUCCAUCAAGAUACGAUGUAACAAAGCAAAUUCCUGUGGUUUUAGGCUUUAAAUACCCCAAACCCCUCCCAGUCAGGGCACUAGUCUUCUAGUUGCUACUAGGGACUACGUCGCUGUCCAGCUAAAU